UACGUAGGGUGCGAGCGUUAAUCGGACUUACUGGGCGUAAAGCGUGCGCAGGCGGUCUGUUAAGACCGAUGUGAAAUCCCCGGGCUUAACCUGGGAACUGCAUUGGUGACUGGCAGGCUUUGAGUGUGGCAGAGGGAGGUAGAAUUCCACGUGUAGCAGUGAAAUGCGUAGAGAUGUGGAGGAAUACCGAUGGCGAAGGCAGCUUCCUGGGCCAACACUGACGCUCAUGCACGAAAGCGUGGGGAGCAAACAGG
rnacentral:rRNA from 1 species